CGGACCGCGUGGAAAGUAUGAAGCAAAGUUUAGUUCAGGCGCUACCCUUUUUGUCUUCCGAUAUGAGUCCUAAUUAUAUGUAUAAUUCAUUCUUUCACACUUUUAUGGAUCAUUAUAAUGCGAUAUUCACCUCAAAAUCGGUCGUAGUUAGUGGUGCAUCAGUUUUUAGUGAGUGGGCUACUGCGGACUUACAUCAACGAAGACGUGAACUGUAUGCCUUGUAUGAGGAACGGCGGUUUAAUCAGAGUGAUGAAUUUAAAGAACAUGUCAAGGAAUAUUCGAAGAAGUUUAAAUAGAUUGUCAUAUAGCUAAGCGAAAUUAUCUAAGUCAGAAAAUAAAAAGUAGUUCCGACAUUAUUAAAGCAACCUGGAAAGUAAUAAAUGUGGAGACUGGUCGCUCGAAACACACAAUUAAAGAACUUAAACUAAAUAUUCAUAACAAAAUUAUAGAUUCCAAUU